AAUCAAGUUUGAAUGAAAUUGAAAAGAAAAGAUAAAAAGAAAACCUAUGAAGAAGCAUUCUCAACUCAAGGAAUGAUUUUUUUCUUACUAGAAUUGGACGUUCCCCGGGGAUCAAAAUCAUCAAAUUCAUCAUCAUAAUUAUUUGAAGGGGUGCUUGUGCU